UUGGAGCGCGUGCGGUCCACGCUCGAGUAACCAGAAACAUAAAGAGAAUCCGCUCCAACUGUUUUAAGUCGCUCACUUGGCUGCUGCAAUUUGUAUGGUCUGAAAGAGCCCAAUGGCUACUACGAAGAUAGGACUCGGAGUUGGUCCCGUCCCAACAACCACUCACCGAGUCACCGCCGUCGCCGCCCCUUCCUCCGCCGUAUUCUCCCCGCCGCCGCACCGCCUCUUCCUCAUCAACUCGCGCCGGCCGCCCCUCCGACCUCGCCCCUCCCCCUCCCCCUCCGCGUCGCCUCCUCCUCCUCCUCUUCCUCCUCCGUCGCCGCGCCAGGAAAAGGAGUUGAAAAUGUGGUAAUUAUAGGUUCAGGCCCUGCAGGAUACACGGCAGCAAUAUAUGCUGCACGUGCCAAUUUGAAACCUGUGGUGUUUGAGGGGUACCAAGCUGGUGGUGUCCCUGGGGGGCAGUUGAUGACUACAACUGAAGUGGAGAAUUUUCCUGGAUUUCCAGAUGGCAUAAGUGGACCUGAUCUGAUGGACAGGAUGCGACGGCAAGCUGAACGUUGGGGUGCAGAAUUGUAUCAGGAAGAUGUUGAAGCUAUUGAUGUGAAAAGUAGUCCUUUUACUGUCCAAAGUAGUGAACGUAAGGUUAAGAGCCAUACUGUCAUUUAUGCUACUGGAGCUACUGCAAAACGACUUAGGCUACCCCGAGAAGAUGAAUUUUGGAGCCGAGGAAUUAGUGCUUGUGCAAUUUGUGAUGGAGCAUCACCUCUAUUCAAGGGUCAAGUUCUUGCUGUUGUUGGAGGGGGGGAUACAGCUACAGAAGAAGCAUUAUACUUAACAAAAUAUGCUCGCCAUGUACAUUUGCUUGUACGUCGGGACCAUCUGAGGGCUUCCAAAGCUAUGCAAGAUAGAGUGUUUGACAAUCCCAAUGUCGCUGUGCACUUCAAUACAGAGGCAGUGGACCUUGUAAGCAACACCAAAGGACAGAUGUCUGGCAUUUUGGUAAGAAAGAUUGAUACUGGGGAGGAAUAUGUGCUUGAGGCAAAAGGGCUGUUUUAUGGCAUAGGCCAUUCGCCAAAUACCGAACUGUUGAAAGGCCAAGUCGAAUUAGACCACUCUGGCUAUGUACAAGUUCAGGAGGGUACUGCAAAAACUUCAGUUGAAGGUGUAUUUGCUGCUGGAGAUGUGCAGGACCAUGAAUGGAGGCAAGCUAUAACUGCUGCUGGAUCUGGAUGCGUUGCAGCUUUAUCAGUUGAGAGAUAUCUUGUGAGCAAUGAUCUUCUUAUAGAGUUCCAUCAGCCCAAAACUGAAGAGGUUAAGAAGGAACUAACAGACAGGGAUGUACACGAGGGCUUUGACAUUACACUUACAAAGCAUAAGGGGCAGUAUGCUCUUCGAAAAUUGUAUCAUGACAGUCCAAGGCUUAUAUGCGUAUUAUAUACAUCACCAACAUGUGGUCCCUGUAGGACUCUGAAGCCAAUCCUUAGUAAGGUGAUUGAUGAAUUUGAUCAGAAUGUACAUUUUGUUGAAAUUGAUAUAGAGGAAGAUCCAGAAAUAGCAGAAGCAGCUGGAAUAAUGGGUACUCCAUGUGUGCAGUAUUUUAAAAACAAGGAGAUGCUCAAGACUGUCUCAGGAGUCAAAAUGAAGAGAGAAUACAGAGAAUUUAUUGAAGCAAACAAAUAGAAGUAUUUAUUUAAAAAAAUUGAAGGGUGAUACCUGAAUUCUGUGAUUCAAUUUUGUUUUCCAAUUUAACCAGCUGAAUAGCGCUGUCAAUUUUGACAACUAUUCCUUGAACUAAUCAGCAACUUCAUAGUUUGUACAUGUAGAGCUACCAAUCACUAUUACUGUUUUGAUUGUUCAAUAUUGGAUUUUUCAUAUUUGAAUUUAGCAAGCCUCAACUAAGAACAUCUCGUUGACACGUUGUGGUGAGGAAAUUGUGAUCAUCAUCCAAGCUGAAAUGAUAAGUGUCGUUUUUGUAA